rnacentral:lncRNA from 1 species
AUCAAGCUCAUGAUAACACCUAGCUUCGACUUCACUUGAAUUUGCUUUGCAAUAUUUUGAGAUUGGCUUCCCUCUAGGAAGUACUGUUAUGAAUUCUAAUUUUCUGAAAUGAUAAUAAUGUUCAUGAAUUCUAACUAUUUAUUAACUGUUUUCAUCGUUUACAACAAAUAAAGACAAUAAACAAAAACAACAUCAAAUUACAAACAAAAAGGUUAUGUUUCCAAAGGGCAGUGAUCACUGACCAACACACAACGGACCAAACAAAAACUCUCGUCUCUCUACCUCUCAUGUUCUUCACAUCCUGCAAUUUACAACCACACAAAUAAAUCUCAAAUCUUUUACAAUCAAAUUGUAUUCUGAAUUGAAUAAAUUGACCAUCAUAAAAGGCGGUGCAACAUCGAGUUCAAAAUACCUGAAUCUCGGGGAGAUUCGAGUGUUGUUACAUGUAAACGAGAGGGAGGAGGAAGAGAGGAAGCAUCCGGAGAAGGCGAGCCGCGAAUGCUCGAGGGAUUGCUGUUUUGUAGCCAACCUUCUUGAACUUGAGAAGCAAACUGAAGAUUCCACAUGACAU